rnacentral:rRNA from 1 species
UAUCAUGGCUCAGGAUGAACGCUGGCGGCGUGCUUAACACAUGCAAGUCGAACGAAGCACCUUAUUUGAUUUCCUUCGGGACUGAUUAUUUUGUGACUGAGUGGCGGACGGGUGAGUAACGCGUGGGUAACCUGCCUUGUACAGGGGGAUAACAGUUGGAAACGGCUGCUAAUACCGCAUAAGCGCACGGCAUCACAUGAUGCAGUGUAGAAAAACUCCGGUGGUAUAAGAUGGACCCGCGUUGG